AAGUCGUAACAAGGUUUCCGUAGGUGAACCUGCGGAAGGAUCAUUAUUGAAUUCAUCUACUGAGUUGCUGCUGGUUCCGAAAGGUUCAUGUGCACGCUUGGUCUUUGAUACCUUUCCACCUGUGCACUUUUGUAGGCAGCUUUGCCCUUGGUCGUCCGUCUGUAGUCAUACUUCGGUAUGGAUUGGAGUUUGAGUCGGUAAGCCGUCUCUCACUCUGGGACUUUGACCAAUAGCAGGGCUGACCUACGUUUUUCAUACACCCAAUUGCAAGUCUAGAAAGUCCAUUAUCGGUCGGAAGGCCUUUAAUCUUAACACAACUAUUGACAACGGAUCUCUUGGCUCAC
rnacentral:misc_RNA from 1 species